rnacentral:rRNA from 1 species
UACGGGGGGGAGCAAGCGUUGUUCGGAUUUACUGGGCGUAAAGGGCGCGUAGGCGGCCACCGCAAGUCACUUGUGAAAUCUCCGGGCUUAACCCGGAAAGGUCAACUGAUACUGCGGGGCUAGAGUGCAGAAGGGGCAACUGGAAUUCUCGGUGUAGCGGUGAAAUGCGUAGAUAUCGAGAGGAACACCUGCGGCGAAGGCGGGUUGCUGGGCUGACACUGACGCUGAUGUGCGAAAGCUAGGGGAGCGAACGGG